rnacentral:lncRNA from 1 species
UGAAAUUUUUAAUUAUGAAAGAUUUAAGUAGACAAUUUAAAACCCCAUAAAGCAAAUAUUCUAUGAGUUUUGGAAACACUUAUUUAAGAGAUAACAAACAAAUAAUAGGUAAACACAAAUAAAUUCAUAAGCAGGAAAAGUAGUAUUAAGUGAUUUGGCUGAUUGGAAUAUUAAAACGAAAAAGAACAAGAAGAGGAAGUCUGAGAAGAAACAGUUGUAGCUAAAGCUAAAAUUAAAAAAAAAAAAACAGUACUGUUCUGUGAUGGUGGGACAUGCCUUUAAUCCCAGAACUUUUUUUUUUUCCUCAUAAGGACAUUUAAUUGGGAUGGGCUUACAUGUUCACAGGUUAAAUUCAUCAUGAUCAUCAAGGAGGGAACAUGGAAGCCUCCAGAAAGGCAUGGUGCAGGAGAAGCUAAGAGUUCUACAUCUUCUACUGAAGGCUGCUAGGAGAAUACUGGCUCCCAUGAAGCUUGAAGCCCACUCCCACAAGGCUACACCUCCCAAAAGAGCCACUCCCUCAGCCGAGCAUAUACAAACCAUCACAUUCCACUUCCUGGACACCAUAGGUUUGUUCAAACAUAAGCCUAUGGGGGACGAUAACUAAACAUAGCAUAAUGCAAAAUAUAUUUAGUCCAAGUUCAAAAACCCCCAUAGCCUAUAGCUGUCUCAACAAUGAUUCCUCUAAUCACUUAACUGUAAUCCCCAAUGCAAGACAGG